AUUGAACGCUGGCGGCAGGCGUAACACAUGCAAGUCGAGCGAGCGGCGGACGGGUGAGUAAUGUCUGGGAAACUGCCUGAUGGAGGGGGAUAACUACUGGAAACGGUAGCUAAUACCGCAUACCCUCAGAUGUGCCCAGCGGGGAUUAGCUGGUAGGUGGGGUAAUGGCUCCCCUAGGCGACGAUCCCUCGCUGGUCUGAGAGGAUGACCAGACACACUGGACAUGAGACACGGUCCAGACUCCUACGGGCGGCAGCAGUGGGGAAUAUUGCACAAUGGGCGCAAGCCUGAUGCAGCCAUGCCGCUUUUGUGAAGAAGGCCUUCGGGUUGUAAAGCACUUUCAGUGAGGAGGCGUUACUCGCAGAAGAAGCACCGGCUAACUCCGUGCCAGCAGCCGCGGUAAUAC
rnacentral:rRNA from 1 species